AGCGCAGGCGGUCUGAUCAGUCGGAUGUGAAAGCCCCGGGCUUAACCUGGGAAUUGCAUUCGAUACUGUCAGACUAGAGUAUGGGAGAGGGAAGUGGAAUUUCUAGUGUAGCGGUGAAAUGCGUAGAUAUUAGAAGGAACACCAGUGGCGAAGGCGGCUUCCUGGCCCAAUACUGACGCUCAGGCUCGAAAGCGUGGGGAGCGAACAGGAUUAGAUACCCUGGUAGUC
rnacentral:rRNA from 1 species